rnacentral:lncRNA from 1 species
AGCACGUAGUUGCGACAGAGAGGGGAUCAACUGCAAAGCCAAGAAUAUUUCCUUUCUAUGCUUUACAGAGAAAGUUUGCCGACUCCUGCUCUCGUGUAUGAGGCCUGAUGACGAUUUUCAUACUAGAAAGCAGCUGUCUACCGCCCAAGGACAGAGCCCUCACCAGACACCGAUGCUGCCACCUUGCACUUCCAGGCUCCAGGACUGCGAGAAACAACUUUCUGUAACUGAAGCCACCUGGUCUGGGAUUUUGCUAUCACAACGUGAGCAGACUAAGACAUCCUCCUAGCAAAUAUUGAUUCUCCCUGAAAAUUCCAGCAGUCCAUUGAGUCAUCUUUAGGAUUCAUCUAGAAUGCCCUGAAGAUGCCUGUGUGCCUUGCUCUCAAAAGUGACCAGGCCAUGUCUAGAAGAGAGGGCGCUUGUCUUUGCUGUGCACGCCAGUCACUGUUGGAAUUUACUAGUGUGAGAAGAAUGGAGGAACCAGGUAGUUCAUGCCCAUUCCCUGAGCCAUGGGGCAAGUUAAAGGUCGAAGCUGAAUUCUAUUUCGUGGCCAUGGUGGCUUCACUGUGAUCAUCAGUUGUCCACGUCCUCCCUUCGUGCAGCACAAAGCCAG